rnacentral:rRNA from 1 species
AGGGCGCACGGUGGAUGCCUUGGCACUAGGAGCCGACGAAGGACGUGACAAACGACGAUAUGCCUUGGGUAGCUGUAAGUAAGCGAUGAUCCAGGGAUUUCCGAAUGGGGGAACCCAACAGGUAGUACCUGUUACCCACAUCUGUUAAGGAUGUGAGGAGGAAGACGCAGUGAACUGAAACAUCUAAGUAGCUGCAGGAAGAGAAAGCAAAAGCGAUUGCCUUAGUAGCGGCGAGCGAAACGGCAGAAGGGCAAACCGAAGAGUUUACUCUUCGGGGUUGUAGGACUGCAAUGUGGACUCAAAGAUUAUAGAAGAAUGAUUUGGGAAGAUCAGCCAAAGAGAGUAAUAGCCUCGUAUUUUAAAUAGUCUUUGUACCUAGCAGUAUCCUGAGUACGGCGGGACACGUGAAAUCCCGUCGGAAUCUGGGAGGACCAUCUCCCAACCCUAAAUACUCCCUAGUGACCGAUAGUGAACCAGUACCGUGAGGGAAAGGUGAAAAGCACCCCGGGAGGGGAGUGAAAUAGAACCUGAAACCGUGUGCCUACAACAAGUUCGAGCCCGUUAAUGGGUGAGAGCGUGCCUUUUGUAGAAUGAACCGGCGAGUUACGUUAUGAUGCGAGGUUAAGUUGAAGAGACGGAGCCGUAGGGAAACCGAGUCUGAAUAGGGCGCCUUAGUAUCAUGACGUAGACCCGAAACCAUGUGACCUACCCAUGAGCAGGUUGAAGGUGCGGUAAGACGCACUGGAGGACCGAACCAGGGCACGUUGAAAAGUGCUUGGAUGACUUGUGGGUAGCGGAGAAAUUCCAAACGAACUUGGAGAUAGCUGGUUCUCUCCGAAAUAGCUUUAGGGCUAGCGUCGACAUUAGAGAUUCUUGGAGGUAGAGCACUGUUUGGGUGAGGGGUCCAUCCCGGAUUACCAAUCUCAGAUAAACUCCGAAUGCCAAUGAAUUAUGGUCGGCAGUCAGACUGCGAGUGCUAAGAUCCGUAGUCGAAAGGGAAACAGCCCAGACCACCAGCUAAGGUCCCAAAAUAAUUGUUAAGUGGAAAAGGAUGUGGGGUUGCACAGACAACUAGGAUGUUAGCUUAGAAGCAGCUAUUCAUUCAAAGAGUGCGUAAUAGCUCACUAGUCGAGUGACCCUGCGCCGAAAAUGUACCGGGGCUAAAACAAUUUACCGAAGCUGUGGAUACCUUUAUAGGUAUGGUAGGAGAGCGUUCUAUGUGUGAUGAAGGUAUACCGUGAGGAGUGCUGGAACGCAUAGAAGUGAGAAUGCCGGUAUGAGUAGCGAAAGACAGGUGAGAAUCCUGUCCACCGUAAGACUAAGGUUUCCAGGGGAAGGCUCGUCCGCCCUGGGUUAGUCGGGACCUAAGGAGAGACCGAAAGGUGUAUCCGAUGGACAACAGGUUGAUAUUCCUGUACUAGAGUAUGUAGUGAUGGAGGGACGCAGUAGGCUAACUAAAGCAGACGAUUGGAAGAGUCUGUCUAAGCAGUGAGGUGUGAAUUGAGUCAAAUGCUUAAUUCUAUAACAUUGAGCUGUGAUGGGGAGCGAAGUUUAGUAGCGAAGUUAGUGACGUCACACUGCCAAGAAAAGCUUCUAGCGUUUAAACAUACUCUACCCGUACCGCAAACCGACACAGGUAGUCGAGGCGAGUAGCCUCAGGUGAGCGAGAGAACUCUCGUUAAGGAACUCGGCAAAAUGACCCCGUAACUUCGGGAGAAGGGGUGCUGACUUUAAGUCAGCCGCAGUGAAUAGGCCCAAGCAACUGUUUAUCAAAAACACAGCUCUCUGCUAAAUCGUAAGAUGAUGUAUAGGGGGUGACGCCUGCCCGGUGCUGGAAGGUUAAGAGGAGUGCUUAGCGUAAGCGAAGGUAUGAAUUGAAGCCCCAGUAAACGGCGGCCGUAACUAUAACGGUCCUAAGGUAGCGAAAUUCCUUGUCGGGUAAGUUCCGACCCGCACGAAAGGCGUAAUGAUUUGGGCACUGUCUCAACGAGAGACUCGGUGAAAUUUUAGUACCUGUGAAGAUGCAGGUUACCCGCGACAGGACGGAAAGACCCCAUGGAGCUUUACUGCAGUUUGAUA